rnacentral:miRNA from 3 species
CAUCGCGUUAACCGGAAGUCUC